rnacentral:misc_RNA from 1 species
UUUGUCACCCGGAAAGCCAAGAGGGGCUGUCGCUGACUUUUCGUCGUGCACGCCCAAGUGCUCUCAACCAUCCAUCUCACCCUAUGUGCACCACCGCGUGGGUUCCCUUUUUGGUCCGCCCCGAAGGGGGCUCGGGUUUCCACCCAACUCCAAUCCGGGGAAAAAGGCCCCUUUGCAAUAAAAGCCAUUUAAAACAAUUUUCACCAACGAACCUUUGGGUCCUCGCACCGAGAAGAAAGGCGGGAAAUGGCAAUCCUAAAGGGGAUUGGCGAAAUUCGUGGAACCUCCAAACCUUUAACCCCACCUGGCCCCCCUGGCAUUUCCAAGGGGCACCCCCGUUGGAGGGCCGGGAAUUUCCCAAAAACUUUUCUUUAAUAAAAGGUUUUGGAAUUUGAAGGUUUUUUGCUGGUUUCCCCCCAAACCAACCUCCUCCAAAAGAAAUAAGGGGGGCCGGCUUUGCCGACCUUUGACGGAAAAAAAGGUAACAACUCCCCGGGUCCGGCAAUGGGGCCGGCUUCAAACCGCCCCAUGAAAAAGGAGGCCGUUCGGGCACCCACGGUUUCUUCGGCGGGAAGGCUGGACCCACCAAAAAAACUUUGACUCCAAUCCGGGGGGAAACACCCCCCGAAAUUAAACCAAUUCAAAAAACGGAAGAAACC